rnacentral:rRNA from 1 species
CAGUCGCCGCGGUAAUACGUAGGUGGCAAGCGUUGUCCGGAAUUAUUGGGCGUAAAGGGCUCGCAGGCGGUUUCUUAAGUCUGAUGUGAAAGCCCCCGGCUCAACCGGGGAGGGUCAUUGGAAACUGGGAAACUUGAGUGCAGAAGAGGAGAGUGGAAUUCCACGUGUAGCGGUGAAAUGCGUAGAGAUGUGGAGGAACACCAGUGGCGAAGGCGACUCUCUGGUCUGUAACUGACGCUGUGGAGCGAAAGCGUGGGGAGCGAACAGGAUUAGAUACCCGUGUAGUCCCUGUCUCUUAUAC